rnacentral:rRNA from 1 species
CGGGUGAGUGACGCGUGGAAAACCUGCCGUAUACUGGGGGAUAACACUUAGAAAUAGGUGCUAAUACCGCAUAAGCGCACAGCUUCGCAUGAAGCGGUGUGAAAAACUCUGGUGGUAUACGAUGGUUCCGCGUCUGAUUAGCUAGUUGGUGGGGUAAUGGCCUACCAAGGCAACGAUCAGUAGCCGGCCUGAGAGGGUGAACGGCCACAUUGGGACUGAGACACGGCCCAAACUCCUACGGGAGGCAGCAG